rnacentral:rRNA from 1 species
AGAGUUUGAUCCUGGCUCAGGAUGAACGCUGGCGGCGUGCUUAACACAUGCAAGUCGAACGAUGACUUUUGUGCUUGCACAGAAUGAUUAGUGGCGAACGGGUGAGUAACACGUGAGUAACCUGCCCCUGACUCUGGGAUAAGCCUGGGAAACUGGGUCUAAUACUGGAUAUGCACCGUAGACCGCAUGGUUUUUGGUGGAAAGAAUUUUGGUCAGGGAUGGACUCGCGGCCUAUCAGCUUGUUGGUGAGGUAAUGGCUCACCAAGGCGACGACGGGUAGCCGGCCUGAGAGGGUGACCGGCCACACUGGGACUGAGACACGGCCCAGACUCCUACGGGAGGCAGCAGUGGGGAAUAUUGCACAAUGGGCGAAAGCCUGAUGCAGCGACGCCGCGUGAGGGAUGACGGCCUUCGGGUUGUAAACCUCUUUCAGUAGGGAAGAAGCGAAAGUGACGGUACCUGCAGAAGAAGCGCCGGCUAACUACGUGCCAGCAGCCGCGGUAAUACGUAGGGCGCAAGCGUUAUCCGGAAUUAUUGGGCGUAAAGAGCUCGUAGGCGGUUUGUCGCGUCUGCCGUGAAAGUCCGAGGCUCAACUUCGGAUCUGCGGUGGGUACGGGCAGACUAGAGUGAUGUAGGGGAGACUGGAAUUCCUGGUGUAGCGGUGAAAUGCGCAGAUAUCAGGAGGAACACCGAUGGCGAAGGCAGGUCUCUGGGCAUCUACUGACGCUGNNNAGCGAAAGCAUGGGGAGCGAACAGGAUUAGAUACCCUGGUAGUCCAUGCCGUAAACGUUGGGCACU